GCUUGCUGGGUACUCGAGUGGCGAACGGGUGAGUAACACGUGGGUGAUCUGCCCUGCACUCUGGGAUAAGCCUGGGAAACUGGGUCUAAUACCGGAUAUGACCAACUGUCGCAUGGUGGUUGGUGGAAAGCUUUUGCGGUGUGGGAUGGGCCCGCGGCCUAUCAGCUUGUUGGUGGGGUAAUGGCCUACCAAGGCGACGACGGGUAGCCGACCUGAGAGGGUGAUCGGCCACACUGGGACUGAGACACGGCCCAGACUCCUACGGGAGGCAGCAGUGGGGAAUAUUGCACAAUGGGCGCAAGCCUGAUGCAGCGACGCCGCGUGAGGGAUGACGGCCUUCGGGUUGUAAACCUCUUUCACCAGGGACGAAGCGUGAGUGACGGUACCUGGAGAAGAAGCACCGGCCAACUACGUGCCAGCAGCCGCGGUAAUACGUAGGGUGCGAGCGUUGUCCGGAAUUACUGGGCGUAAAGAGCUCGUAGGCGGUUUGUCGCGUCGUCUGUGAAAUUCUGCAACUCAAUUGCAGGCGUGCAGGCGAUACGGGCAGACUUGAGUACUACAGGGGAGACUGGAAUUCCUGGUGUAGCGGUGAAAUGCGCAGAUAUCAGGAGGAACACCGGUGGCGAAGGCGGGUCUCUGGGUAGUAACUGACGCUG
rnacentral:rRNA from 1 species